rnacentral:rRNA from 1 species
UACAGAGGGGGCAAGCGUUGUUCGGAAUUACUGGGCGUAAAGGGCGCGUAGGCGGCCUGUUAAGUCGAACGUGAAAUCCCCGGGCUCAACCCGGGAACUGCGUCCGAUACUGGCAGGCUUGAAUCCGGGAGAGGGAUGCGGAAUUCCAGGUGUAGCGGUGAAAUGCGUAGAGAUGUGGAGGAAUACCGAUGGCGAAGGCAGCCCCCUGGGAUAACACUGACGCUCAUGCACGAAAGCGUGGGGAGCAAACAGG